AUUCAGCAGCCAACUUUCUAAUCAAUUCUAUGAGUGUGGUGAUUGCAGUUAUGCUCAUUUUCUGAGGGUGAAGUUUGGAUAGAACUAAAAAGGGCGGUUGGCAGGAAUCAAAAGAGAUGAAAGCCUCAGGACAAAGAGUUAGAGGCCCAGGUGGUUCAUGACUGAGAGUUUGGAAAUGAUUUCUGGUGUCUCACUUCAGAGAAAAUAAAUAUAGCCAACUCUGUUCAUCCGUGGUGAUGGAACAUUCAACUACAGCACUGGCAGUUUGGGAUCUAAGACCACCCUUCCAGCACUUCAAAAUUCUGACUUAUAAA
rnacentral:lncRNA from 1 species